rnacentral:lncRNA from 1 species
AAGUUGGGUUUUCAAGAUAAAAUUGGUGGGUAACAUUUCUUAACUCUAAACCUUCGAUUACCCAUUAUUAUUAUUGAAUUUAUGAGUUCAAAUCAAGAUUUCGGGUUGAUUAUUUGGGGGUGCUUCAUGAACUUGAGUUAUGAAGUAAAAGUGAGUUUGUGAACUGAUUUUAAGUUAUAUUUUGAAAUGAUUUUCCCUGAUGAGUUCCUAAAACCUUGAGUAAUGUUGUCAAGUAUUAAAUUUUGAAUCCAAACCUUAAUUUUUGGAAUUAGGUAUUGUAUUGAUUGACUCACCUUUUAAGGAAAUUGUAGUGGGUGUUGUUGAUUCUGGAAAGUGAUUGUGAAUACUUGCUUGAUUAUAGAUUGUAUGGUUUUGGAAGUGAAUCGGACGGGGGAGACUCAACUUUUGGAGUGAUUGUUGAUUGAUUUAAGGCAUCUGGCUUCCUAAACAUUGUAUUCUGAUUGAAUUCGCAUGCUUCCUUUGUUGCUUGCGUGUUGGGAGUAAUGAAGAUGAGGUGAAGGGUUUAAAUUGUCCACUUGUAACUUCCUCAUACAAUAGCGAAAUGAACCGAUAUUUUUUUCUAAAUGUCUUAAAUAAUGAUACUGACCUACUCAAUUAACCGAAACUCAACUUAAUGCUUGUUUGCCCAGUCAAAUAUUAUUCCUGCUUGAUAAACAACUAUUUCAUAUUUUCCGAUAAAAAUUCAAUCUCGACUUAGCAAAAAUACCCGAAACCUUAAUGAUCAGUUCUACAAUUCAUGAUCAAACUUUCUAAAGUUCCAAAAUAAUUGUCUUUAAAAAUAAUAACUAACUUUUUAGUUGGCACAAUUUGUUGAAACAGUGUCAAAGCACCCAAAAAGCUUUAGAAACUUACUAAAAGCUCAUUCAAAAAAUUUCGAACACAAACCAAAUAUGCUACUAGCUUGGAAUAAUAUUAUGGACUUAAAACACCCAAACAAGGUCAUCUUAACCCAAUGUUGAUCAAGUCAAAGUUUAACUUAAGAAUUUCCAAAUUUUCAAAUAAGGACAUGUAACUCAUCCAAAAGCUUCAGGAACUGAAUCAAACCUUAACUAGACCAAAUAUCACCAUUUAGACUUAGUGAAAUCAUCAAAACUCAAAAAUGACCUUUCUAACCCAAAUGUUAGCUAAAAUCAAACUUUAGCCUUAACUUUUUCUGCAUCUCGUCUAAUAGCUCAAAAUCAAAUUGAAAGCCUUGGGACCCAAACCAACAUUACAUCUAUACCAAAAACUACAUUCCAAAGCUAAUAGAACUAUCAGAAUUCUAUUAUGAAUUUGCUAUCACCAAAUAUUCACUUUGGUUAACUAUCGUAUGCUUUCAACUUUCAAAACACAAAAACUCUUUCAAAACUCUUUCAAAACUCAUCCAAGCAUCGCAGGACCUAAGCCAAUAGUCCUACUAACCCAAAAGUCACGUUCCGGAGCUGAUAAAAGUUGAGAGAAUUUCAUUCCUAGACUUGAGCUUUAGUGCACAAGUCGUCGAAUUCCUUAAUUUGGGGCAGGAGUCUCGACGACAAGGAACUCCAAAUAUUGACUAAAGUUAACCAUUUCAACUUAAAAGCUUUCAAAACUUAAAAACAUCCAAAAGUCUUAACUCUACGAUCCGGUAUCAAAUCUAAGUUCAAAAACUGAUAAAACAUGAGUCGACACAACUAUCAAGAGGGGUAAAAUGAUAAUUUUUCAAAAAAUAAUCCAAAAACAACCUUCAAGGUCAUUGCACACAUACACUAAAUAUCUCACAUAAGUUAGGAUAAAAGGGGUAUUUACUUAUCAAAAUAUGGAACACCUCGAUAAAAUUCAUGGCUACAUCACCCAUUAUGUCAUAUCAAUGCAAAGAUUAUAGUAAUUCAAUAGAUAUCUUGACGCGGAGAAAGAAAUUUAAGAUUGGUCAAUUUUAUUUAAUAUGACAUUUCAAUUUUUGUUAAAUGCAAUAAAUUUCUUUCUUAAAAAUCUCAAAAACCCAAAUUUGCUUCCUUAUAUUAUCCUCAUUUCUUCACUCACUUGCAAUAUUUGUCUUUCAUUGAUUUCUCCGUAUAAGUCUUAUGAUAUAUCUUUUAUACAAAACGAGAAUCUAAGAACCUUUUCCAAUUAUUGAUUUCAAGUUUUUGCGAAGUGAUUUUUACUUAUUACGAUACAUCAUGGUAAUUUAUUCGGUUCUCUCUUGUCCUCAAUUCCAUUACUUAGCAGACUUUUUGGAGCAACCGUAGCAAAGCUUUCAAUCGUUUUUAAUGUUUCAUAUAGGAAUCAUGAUCAAUUUUACUUUUUGUUAAUUCUAUAUGUUUCGAAAUAAACCUCUAUCAUGAAAAAAAAAGUAAGAUUAUUGAGUCAUUUAUUUUUCGUAAUAAACUCUGAAAUAGUAUCAUACCAACAAACAAACAGGUACACCUAAGCAUCUAUAGACUCAAUCAUCUUCUAUGAAAGGUGUUUAGAGCUUAUAUACCUAAAAAAAAA